GCCAUCUCGGCCCCCUCUCCCCUGGGAGACCCCAUUCCCAUCCCCACCUGGGGCUCAGGAUCUACACGUCCUGCCCCCAGCACCUGACCUGCCCGGCUCUGAAGAGCCUCGAAAGCCUCCAGCUCCACAGGCAUCACCAUGCUGUCAAAGCGGCCGAGGCAGUGACCCGCAGAAGAUGACCAUGUGGUGAUGUGGCGACCACGGGAAAGCUGAGAUUAGUGGCUGGGGAGUCAAAGCAGAGAAGGCCUUGAAUGUGAGCAUAAGAAACUUAUACUCUGUUCUGCCAAAGCACCUCCACGGCCUGGCUGUGGCUGAUGUCGUCGAACCUGACACCGUUGGCCGCCAGGACCUGGUCCCCCACCUUGAUGCCGUUCUCCUCGGCCAGCCCACCAUGAUCCACUCUGGGUCAGACAAGAGGCAGUCUGAGAGGUCACCUGGCCUACCCUCCCUCACCCGAGACCAGACUCUUCACUUGGAUAUGGGGAUGCCCCAGCCAAACUCCUUGACCCUCCUCCCAGAGCCCCCCAGCCUUCUCCAGACCCCUGACCCAGGCCCUCCUUUGGACACGUAGCUGGCUGAGCCUCGCUUGCCAGCCGGUCCCCAUUGCACGCCUGCCCCAGCCCUCACUUGGACACGUAGAUG